rnacentral:rRNA from 1 species
UACGUAGGGGGCAAGCGUUGUCCGGAAUCAUUGGGCGUAAAGAGCGUGUAGGCGGCCUGGUAAGUCCGCUGUGAAAGUCCAGGGCUCAACCCUGGAAUGCCGGUGGAAACUGUCAGGCUCGAGUCCGGAAGAGGCGAGUGGAAUUCCUGGUGUAGCGGUGAAAUGCGCAGAUAUCAGGAGGAACACCAAUGGCGAAGGCAGCUCGCUGGGACGGUACUGACGCUGUGACGCGAAAGCGUGGGGAGCAAACAGG